GGCAAGUCCGGUGGUGAAGAGGUGCUACAGGAGAACCGAAGAACAGAAACAUUAACAGAUGCUGCAAGACGGCAAAUGGUGAAACAUACUGGUGGCUCACAUGAUUGAUAACCAUGGGCACCUCCCCAUUAAAGCGACCAGAGAAGAGUUUGCUCUUGGUAUCGUGAUGCUGUUCCCUUCCCUCAAGGAUCCAUAUUCCAAGAAAGGCUUUGAACACUUCUUUGAUCCUGGAAGCAACACAGGACACAUUUCUUGGCGUCUGAAAACAGUCCAAAGGCAGAUUUGUCGAGGGUCUGCAACGCCACCAAGUAGCUCCAUUGUCUUUUCUCCAGGAGGCCCAACUUUCCAAAGGAUUGUUAAUGUUGAAGGACAGUGUGGAGUAUAAAGCUGGACUUGUUGUGUGCUGUACAGUGGAAGAAGACAUGCCAGUCUUUUGUGAAAUAAGUGAUGUACUUUUGGUUGAUAAUCACAUUUUUUUUUCUGACAAACAAGCUAUUCACAGAGAAUUUUGAUGGCCAUCAUCAUGCGUUCAGAAUAUUGCCAAGUGAAGAAAGGUGUGUCAUAAACAUGUCAAAGCUUAAAUGUUAUAAACUGUUUGAUAUUCAAAGCUCAUACAAUGUUUCAGAUGAAACUUUGUACAUUAUACCUUUAUUUGUGAUGUUUUGAACGACUGCAA